GAUUACAUCAUGUGGCGAGGCGGGGUGCUUUUCGGACUAUUCUGUCUGAUAUCUCGAGCCCCAGGACAAUUGUCUCCAGUCAGUGAAAUACCUUCUUCCCAGGCCGGUGACAAAAUCAAUAUCGAUGAUGGCACACAUAUUAUGUCUUUGACUAUGUGCUUAGCUCAACUAUCUUGUAUGAACGACAGGUAUACUCUACGAGACGUUUCACCAGUACGUUUAGAACCGGAAUCAAGAUUGAUUCGACCAGCUGUACACAUGUCGUCUUGUCCGAACUCUGGUCGUUUGUUCCGUACAGCUGAUGGCUCCUGUAACAACAUCCAACGACCCUCAUGGGGACAAUCAUUGG